CUUUAGGAGAAAUCGAUACAAGAUUCUCAUUUUGUGCAGUGGCAACUUUGGCUCUCUUGGGCAAACUUGAUGCUAUUAAUGUGGAAAAGGCCAUUGAAUUUGUUUUGUCCUGUAUGAACUUUGAUGGUGGAUUUGGGUGCAGACCAGGCUCUGAAUCUCACGCCGGACAGGAUUCCUGGCCAUAACUAGUCAGUUGCAUCAAGUGAACUCCGACCUACUUGGUUGGUGGCUUUGUGAACGACAGUUGCCCUCUGGCGGACUCAAUGGAAGACCCGAGAAGGUAUUAUUUGUAGUGGUUCUUCCUGCUGUGGGCUUAAAACUGCACUGUGUUUCUUGGGUGAUUUUAAGAUGAUACCUUAAGGAGAGAACUUGGGGUCUCACUGACCUGAAUUCAUUUCUGCCUUGGGACGUGGAUAGGUGCUGUCUUUCUACCACAGCAUGCUCAAAAGCCCAGCUUGUAAUUUAACCACAUCACCUGGGAGGCACAGGCAAGAAGUCUUUUGAGUUUGAAGCUAGCCUACUCUAUUUAGGGGGACCCAAUCAAUUAAUAAAUAAAAAUGGGUGGUGAACACUUCAAGUGUUGCUAAUCUGAGCUCCAGAUCUAUAUAGUUAGUUUCUGUGUAGAGCUUGCUUUGUGAGAGGGUCAGAGAACGCGAAUUUUCCUUGUGGGGAUGCCCCCACAGAUAGUAUCUGAACAGGACUGGAGUCUUAAGCUAGUAACUGAACAGUUGGGCUAAAACCUAGAAACUUCAUGUGCCUGCUAGUCAUUCUCGGGCUCAGUAGGUUGUUGAGGCUGAUCUGUAGGAACUGAGGCCUCUGUGCCGUCUCAGCCAGCUGAUGAGCUUCUACCUGGUUGGAAAUGGCCCCGCCUAGGACUUAAGCCCUGGGUUUCACCCGUGACCUCAGCUGUGCAUGGAGUGAAGAUGUUCUUUACAAAGACAAGUAAAUUGAUUGCCAGCCUACAGUCCUGGCGUGCGUUGAGAAACAAUGCAUGGGAGCUGGUCUCAGUCCUUUCUGUGUUUUCAGUUACCAUCCUAUGCAUGGCUGAAGCUGUUCUAAACUGUAGUGAUUGUGCUGCCCCAGACUAUUGUC
rnacentral:lncRNA from 1 species